rnacentral:misc_RNA from 1 species
UCCGAGUUGACCCCGGCAGUCUCCCACGAGUCCCCACCAUCACGUGCUGGCAACAUAGGAUAAGGGUUGCGCUCGUUGCGGGACUUAACCCAACAUCUCACGUACAUGUCAAGCCCAGGUAAGGUUCUUCGCUUAGCAUCGAAUUAAACCACACGCUCCGCUGCUUGUGCGGGCCCCCGUCAAUUCCUUUGAGUUUUAGCCUUGCGGCCGUAGUCCCCAGGUGGAGUACUUAACGCGUUAGCUACGGCUCUCAGGGGGUCGAUACCCCGAAAACCUAGUACUCAUCGUUUAGGGCGUGGACUAC